AUAACGACUCUCGGCAACGGAUAUCUCGGCUCUCGCAUCGAUGAAGAACGUAGCGAAAUGCGAUACUUGGUGUGAAUUGCAGAAUCCCGUGAACCAUCGAGUCUUUGAACGCAAGUUGCGCCCCAAGCCGUCAGGCCGAGGGCACGUCUGCCUGGGUGUCACGC
rnacentral:rRNA from 1 species